ACGGGCGAAGAGAUCGAUGCAUGGUUCACUGCAACGGAGUGCAUGCAGUCCUGGAGUGUAGUACUGUUUCCAUGCCGCGGCACGGCACGGCACGGCUUCUUGCCGUGCGUGUGGGUCCCAUUUUUUGCAAAGGAAACAUAACUUUUUCCUGCUCAGAAAAUAAUAAAGUAGUGAAAGAAGAUUACUAGGUCUUGUUUAGUUUUAAAUUUUUUUUGAUUUUUGAUACUAUAGUAUUUUCGUUUUUAUUUGAUAAUUAUUGUAUAAUUAUGGACUAAUUAGGCUCAAAAGAUUUAUCUUAUGAUUUAUAGGCAAAUUGUGUAAUUAGUUUUUGUUUUCGUCUAUAUUUAAUACUCCAUGCAUGUGCCGCAAGAUUCGAUGUGACGGAGAAUCUUGAAAAUUUUUUAGUUUUUUUGGUGAACUAACAAAGCCUAGAGGAAAUGUGAGCAUCUAUGUAUGACGUAGAGGAAGUGAUUUUUUUUAAUAAAAGGAGGAAGUGAUAAUCAAAAUCUAUAGUGCAAUAAUCGGCAAUCUUCUUUGUGAUAAUGUGAUGUAAACUUGACUUUUUUGAAACCAAUGUGAUAUAAACUUGCAUGCGUUCAAUGUGACAAUGUCCGCGCAACUUGACGUUCCAAAAAAAAAACUAAAAUAAAAGCAAAUAAAAAAUGAACUUUAGAGAUGUAUUUUGCAUUUCCAUAUAUCCUACUCAAUCCAUCCCAAAUUAUAAGACGUUUGACUUUUUAAAACCAAGUUUGACCAUUCGUCUUAUUCAAAAAUUUGUGCACAAUUUUCACUUUUUUGUCGUGGCUUGAUUUAUUAAUAAAAAUUCUACAAGAAUAACUUAAAUUUGACUCAGUUUGCACAAUUUUUUUUGAAUAAAACAAGUGAUCAAGAUCAAAAAAGUCAAACGUCUUUAUAAUUUGGGAUGAACAACAUGAUGACCACUUGGCAAAGUCAAAUAGUAUAAAUGGCGGUGUAGCUGGAGUAAUUUCUCAAAUACACAUAUUUUGUCACGUAAUGCCUCAUCACGAGAGACCCAAUUUUUUUAAAAAAGAAAAAAAUGUGCCAUAUAUAUGUAGGAGUAUAUAUAUCUUUUUUUACCAAAUUCUAUUGUUCAGUGAACCCACACGUACACUCCAGGACACACAGAGAUGUCUGUUAUAUUAGCACGUACCGUCAUUCAAGUGCAGAAGAACUAAUUAACCAUGUAUAAUCAGGAGCAAACCUAUACCAAAUUGACAAAGGUACGGUGGGCAUGCACGUCCAUCAUCAAUGUGUUCAUUUGGAGUAAGGCC
rnacentral:lncRNA from 1 species